UUACACUGCACGCACGUGCGAUAAGGGGACUCCGAGUGCGAGGGCAUAUCGUCCUCGCUUUCGUGUACCGUAGGGUGGUACACCAACAAGGGCUGGGCAAGACCGGUGCCAGCCGCCGCGGUAAUACCGGCAGCCCGAGUGAUGGCCGAUCUUAUUGGGCCUSCGCAAAGCGUCCGUAGCUGGCUGCGCAAGUCCGUCGGGSCGCAAAUCCACUCGCCCAACGAGUGGGCGUCCGACGGSCGCAAACUGCACAGCUUGGGACCGGAAGGCUCGAAGGGUACGUUCGGGGUAGGAGUGSCGCAAAUCCCAUAAUCCCGCACGGACCACCGAUGGCGSCGCAAAGCACUUCGAGSCGCAAAACGGAUCCGACAGUGAGGGACGSCGCAAAGCCAGGGUCUCCAACCGGAUUAGAUACCCGGGUAGUCCUGGCCGUSCGCAAACAAUGUUCGCUAGGUAUGACACAGACUACGCGUCUCUGUUGUGCCGUAGGGAAGCCGAGAAGCGAACCGCCUGGGAAGUACGUCUGCAAGGAUGSCGCAAA
rnacentral:rRNA from 1 species